AUAGCUCAGUGGUGCAGCUUCUGCCUGGCAAGCACAAGGUCCUGAGUUCCAUUCCCAGU
rnacentral:tRNA from 1 species